ACUGGGACUGAGACACGGCCCAGACUCCUACGGGAGGCAGCAGUAAGGAAUCUUCCACAAUGGGCGAAAGCCUGAUGGAGCAACGCCGCGUGCAGGAUGAAGGCCCUCGGGUCGUAAACUGCUUUUAUAAGUGAAGAAUAUGACGGUAACUUAUGAAUAAGGAUCGGCUAACUACGUGCCAGCAGCCGCGGUCAUACGUAGGAUCCGAGCGUUAUCCGGAGUGACUGGGCGUAAAGAGUUGCGUAGGCGGUUAGUUAAGUGAAUAGUGAAACCUGGUGGCUCAACCAUACAGACUAUUAUUCAAACUGGCUAACUCGAGAGUAGCAGAGGUACCUGGAAUUUCUGAAGUAGGGGUAAUAUCCGUAGAUAUCAGAAGGAACACCAAUGGCGUAGGCAGGGUACUGGGCUAUUUCUGACGCUAAGGCACGAAAGCGUGGGGAGCGAACCGGAUUAGAUACCCGGGUAGUCCACGCCGUAAACGAUGGAUACUAGCUGUAGGGGGUAUCGACCCCCUCUGUAGCGAAGCUAACGCGUUAAGUAUCCCGCCUGUGGAGUACGGUCGCAAGACUAAAACAUAAAGGAAUUGACGGGGACCCGCACAAGCGGUGGAUCAUGUUCUUUAAUUCGAUGCUAAACGAAGAACCUUACCAGGGUUUGACAUCCCGAGAAUUUUGCCGAAAGGCGAGAGUGCUUUAUUGAACUCGGUGACAGAUGAUGCAUGGCCGUCGUCAGCUCGUGUCGUGAGAUGUUUGGUUAAGUCCAUCAACGAGCGCAACCCUUGUGAUUAGAUGUAUUUUUCUAAUCAGACUGCCCCGGUAACGGGGAGGAAGGAGGGGAUGAUGUCAGGUCAGUAUUUCUCUUACAUCUUGGGCUAGAAACGUGAUACAAUGGCCGAUACAAUGCGCAUACGCCAACCCGCGAGGGGGAGCAAAUCGCAUCAAAGUCGGUCCCAGUUCGGAUAAGAGGCUGAAACUCGCCUCUUUGAAGUCGGAAUCGCUAGUAAUCGCAGGUCAGCAAACUGCGGUAAAAACGUUCCCGGGUCUUGUACACACCGCCCGUCAAACCAUGAAAGUGACCAACACGCGAAGUCCGAUUSGUCGGCCUAAGGUGGGGGGCAUGAUUGGGGUU
rnacentral:rRNA from 1 species